rnacentral:rRNA from 1 species
UACAGAGGGUGCGAGCGUUGUCCGGAAUCACUGGGCGUAAAGGGCGCGUAGGUGGCGACCCAAGUCGAUGGUGAAAGCUCGCCGCUCAACGGCGAGUCGGCCACUGAUACUGGGUUGCUGGAGCACUGUAGAGGCAGAUGGAAUUCCGGGUGUAGCGGUGGAAUGCGUAGAGAUCCGGAAGAACACCGGUGGCGAAGGCGGCUCUCUGGGACGGUACUGACGCUGAGACGCGAAAGCGUGGGGAGCGAACAGG